AACGAACGCUGGCGGCAUGCCUAACACAUGCAAGUCGAACGAGACCUUCGGGUCUAGUGGCGCACGGGUGCGUAACGCGUGGGAAUCUGCCCUUGGGUUCGGAAUAACAGCGAGAAAUUGCUGCUAAUACCGGAUGAUGACGUAAGUCCAAAGAUUUAUCGCCCAAGGAUGAGCCCGCGUAGGAUUAGCUAGUUGGUGAGGUAAAGGCUCACCAAGGCGACGAUCCUUAGCUGGUCUGAGAGGAUGAUCAGCCACACUGGGACUGAGACACGGCCCAGACUCCUACGGGAGGCAGCAGUGGGGAAUAUUGGACAAUGGGCGAAAGCCUGAUCCAGCAAUGCCGCGUGAGUGAUGAAGGCCUUAGGGUUGUAAAGCUCUUUUACCCGGGAUGAUAAUGUACAGUACCGGGAGAAUAAGCUACCGGCUAACUACCGUGCCAGCAGCCGCGGUAAU
rnacentral:rRNA from 1 species